rnacentral:rRNA from 1 species
AUUAACGCGAAGAACCUUACCUGGCCUUGACAUCCAGAGAACUUAGCAGAGAUGCUUUGGUGCCUUCGGGAACUCUGAGACAGGUGCUGCAUGGCUGUCGUCAGCUCGUGUUGUGAAAUGUUGGGUUAAGUCCCGCAACGAGCGCAACCCUUAUCCUUUGUUGCCAGCGAUUCGGUCGGGAACUCAAAGGAGACUGCCGGUGAUAAACCGGAGGAAGGUGGGGAUGACGUCAAGUCAUCAUGGCCCUUACGGCCAGGGCUACACACGUGCUACAAUGGCGCAUACAAAGAGAAGCGACCUCGCGAGAGCAAGCGGACCUCAUAAAGUGCGUCGUAGUCCGGAUUGGAGUCUGCAACUCGACUCCAUGAAGUCGGAAUCGCUAGUAAUCGUAGAUCAGAAUGCUACGGUGAAUACGUUCCCGGGCCUUGUACACACCGAAU